AGAGGGUCGUCUUGGAAACCAUAGUGAGCCUUCUGCCAAAGGAGAAAAAUGCAAUGUCUGUAAGCUUCCUAACCGUGCUGCUUCGAGCAGCAAUUUAUCUCGAAACAACCAUUGCUUGUCGACUCGAUUUAGAAAAAAGGAUGGCCUUGCAAUUAGGACAGGCUGUUUUGGAUGAUCUCUUGAUUCCUGCCUAUUCUUUUACUGGGGAUACAUUGUUUGAUGUGGACACAGUACAGCGGAUCAUGAUGAAUUACCUUGAAUAUGAAACUGAUGGUUCUCAUUUUGGCUACAAAGAAGAAGAUGGCUAUAUUUCUCCCCCACUAAGUGACAUGGAAAGGGUGGGAAAGCUAAUGGAGAGCUACCUAGCCGAAAUAGCAUCUGAUCGUAAUCUCCCCGUCUCGAAAUUCAUCGGUCUCACUGAACUCAUUCCCGAACAAUCGAGGAUAACAGAGGAUGGGAUGUACAGAGCCAUAGAUAUCUACCUCAAGGUACAGUCUUUUAUGUAAUAACCCUCAUCUUAACAUUCUGCUGCAACUUUUUACUCAAUUCAAUAAUUAUAUAUACUCUAAUCCUAUAUGAGUACAGAAAACAACACCAUUUGUUCAUUAUGAAUUAAGUUUGAACACAUUGCAAUGCAAAGGUGAUUUUGAAGCAAUCUCAUAUAAAGUGAAUCUGCUUUGUAACAGGACUGUUGGAACUAUCAUAUAGAACCCUUUUAGCUUUCAUUGAUUUGAGAGAAUAGUAUCUUAGUCUUAUCCACCUUUUCAUAAUAAUUGACACUUGACAGGCUCACCCCACUAUAACUGACUUGGAGAGGAAGAAAGUUUGCAGCCUAAUGGAUUGCCAGAAACUCUCUCGGGAGGCCUGCGCUCACGCUGCGCAAAACGACCGUCUUCCUGUCCAGACCGUGGUUCAAGUUCUUUACUACGAACAACAACGCCUUCGAGACGUCAUGAACGGAAGCAUGUCAAGUGGAACUUCCCCUUCCAUAUCUUCCAGAGUGAAUUUAUACCCUCCAACAGAUAUCCACCCAGUUUCGGAUGAACUUUCGAGCUUGAAACGAGAGAACGAGGACUUGAAACUAGAGCUAGUAAAAAUGAAAAUGAGAUUGAAAGAAAUAGAAAGACCAUCAUCCGCUGUUCCGUCAGCAGCAAGCAGUCCUAUGGGAAUUAUUGUGCCAUCAUCUGAUAAGCCUCCUUUGCCAAGAAAAUCAUUCAUGAAUUCAGUUUCUAAGAAACUUGGACGCCUUUAUCCUUUCGGAGUUCCGCCUUCCGGU
rnacentral:lncRNA from 1 species